UCUUGCACACUAGAGUGUAGGCAUGCAUCAGGGCAAAAUGCACAGUUUCUGUAAGGUUUGGAUUAUUUGAUCAUUAAUGCUGUCUUUGCUACUAGGCAUUAUUAAACAUGGAGGAGUAAAGCCAAAUAUUAUUCCAUCGUACACUGAGCUGGUAUAUUAUCUACACACUCCAAAGUACAAAGACCUGCGCAUACUGUGAGAAGACAGUGCAGUGUUUCAAAGCUGCUGGCUUGGCCACAGGAUGCGAGGUAGAGCUGGAAUUUAUGAAGACAGCAUUUUAUAACGUGUUUCCAAACGAGACACUAUGAAGGUGAAUGGCAGAAGUCUUAGUAUGGAAUUUGCAACUGGUGAAGUUUUGAACACGCUAUCAGGUAAAGCUGUGAAUGCACACUUUUACCAUCAUAAUUAUCAGCAGGCUCCACAGAUUUUGGCAAUGUUUCUUUUGUAGUUCCUGGAAUUCACCCUUAAUUUUACAUUGCCUCCUCUGCAUUGAAUCAUGCAAAGGAAUAUACCUGAAGCAGCUGGAUCUAAAGAAGCACAGUAUUAUACAUUGUGCACAGCAAAGGCCUUGGCAAUGACUGCAUUGGAUGUUGCGCUAAACCUCGAUCUGUUGGAACAGAUGAAGAAAGAUUUUGAAAAGCUCAAGUUACAGGAAAUAGUCUUUAAACAAUAGAAUUGUCAUUUAAUGGAGAUCAAAAUAACCUGUAUAUGAUUGUAAUUUUUAAAAAAAUCACUCUACUACAAAUGGAUGGUAAACUAAUCACAACAAAAGAUUGCUAACUGCCAGUAUAGGUGAGUGGUUUAUGUUGAUCUUGCACUGCGAAUAUUUAGAGCAAUUGUUUUAUAACGUAACUAAGUACUUUUUUCCUCUGUUCAAUCUUUGAAAUUUAAAAUUUCUUCACCCUGAUAUAAAAGAAUCUUGCAUGAUUUUAUUCCAACUUGGAAAGGGUGUUGUAAAAUUGGUUUUGUACAGAAUAAUUCUGUAGCUUCCUGGUCACAAUGUGAAGAAAAAUUUAAAAUCCUAUUAUUUAUGUUUGUUCAUAAAAUUAUAGUAAUGAGUAGCUAGUUUGUCAUCCUAGCAAUACUUCUGUGUGAAUUUUAGAAAUGUUUUUGCGCAGAAUAUUUGUAUUUUACAAUUAAAUGAACUGGAAGAAUUAUUUUGUUGAUUAUUUCUGGGAAGGCAAUUGUCUUGAGACAGUGUGGCACUGGAAAAGCACAGCAGGUCUGGCAGCAUCCGAGGAGCAAGAGAGUCGACAAUUUGGGCAUAAGGCCUUCAUCAGAGAACCAUGUAACAGGGACACAGGUUGGAAUCCCCUCCCACCCCCCCCCUCCCCAUGACAGAUAUUUGAAUUCAAUUAAAAAGUUUUUUAGAACUAAGAGGCUAAUGAUGGCCAUGAAUCUAUUUCUGAUUGUAGGAAAAACCUAACUGGUUCACUAAUGUGCCGUCCUUACCUGCUCUGGCCUACAUGUGACUCCAGACCCACAGCAAUGUAGUUGAC